CGAAAAGUGAAGAUUGGGAGUAGUAGAAACGUGGCCGGAUGACAGAGAGCCGAUGGGUGGUGCGAAUCGGCAGAAGGCGCAUUUUGAACUCGCCCAUGAACUGCAGCCCGACAUGUAGGGUGUGCCGUGAUUCUCACGUUACAGGGAUAGAUGGUGUUUGCCAUCAAGCAAAGUGGACUUUCUUCGUUGGAAAGUCAAUUAGAGUGGUACCGCGAGCCAACUAUGCCUCGUCUCUAAC
rnacentral:ncRNA from 1 species